rnacentral:rRNA from 1 species
GUGCCAGCAGCCGCGGUAAUACGUAGGGCGCAAGCAUUGUCCGGAAUUAUUGGGCGUAAAGAGCUCGUAGGCGGCCUGUCGCGUCGGAUGUGAAAGCCCGGGGCUUAACCCCGGGUCUGCAUUCGAUACGGGCAGGCUGGAGUUCGGUAGGGGAGAUCGGAAUUCCUGGUGUAGCGGUGAAAUGCGCAGAUAUCAGGAGGAACACCGGUGGCGAAGGCGGAUCUCUGGGCCGAUACUGACGCUGAGGAGCGAAAGCGUGGGGAGCGAACAGGAUUAGAAACCCUUGUAGUCC